rnacentral:rRNA from 1 species
CACAAGCAGCGGAGCGUGUUGGUUUAAUUCGAUGCUACACGAAGAACCUUACCAGGGUUUGACAUACAAGUAGUAGGGAAAGGAAACUGGACCGACCCUUCGGGGAGCUUGUACAGGUGCUGCAUGGCUGUCGUCAGCUCGUGUCGUGAGAUGUUCGGUUAAGUCCGCUAACGAGCGCAACCCUCGCUGUGUGUUAUAUGUGUCACACGGGACUGCCGGUCUUAAGCCGGAGGAAGGUGGGGAUGAUGUCAAGUCCUCAUGGCCCUUAUAGGUGGGGCUACACACGUCAUACAAUGGCUGGUACAAAGGGUUGCCAACCCGCGAGGGGGAGCCAAUCCCAUAAAGCCAGUCGUAGUCCGGAUCGCAGUCUGCAACUCGACUGCGUGAAGUCGGAAUCGCUAGUAAUCGUGGAUCAGCAUGUCACGGUGAAUACGUUCCCGGGUCUU